UCGUCGGGAUUCUUGAGCAUCUGGGAAAAGACCGAGAUGAAACCUUUGGCUUGCCCUUGUUGCGCUCCUGGUGGUCUGGUAAAGAGACUCUUUAUUUCCUUGCAUAUGUUUCUCCUUGAUCUGUGCAUGCAUCCAAAUUUGUGUCCUACCUUGUUUUGAUUGUUUAUAUUGAAAAUUAAGUUGGAAUAAUAUCAAAACUAAGCAAUUGUUAUUGAGGAA